ensembl:lncRNA LINC01405 long intergenic non-protein coding RNA 1405
ACUUCUCUCUCUGUCUCUCCUGCCACCAUGUGAAGAAGGUGCUUGUUUCCCCUUUGCCUUCCGCCAUGAGUGUAAGUUUCCUGAGGUCUCCCAGUCAUACUGCUGGUUAAGCCUGCAGAACGGCUGGUCUUGAACUCCCAGCCUCAAGCCAUCCUCCCGCCUUGGCCUUUCAAAGUGCUGGAUUACAAGCGUGAGCCACCGUGCACAGCCAAGACACAAUUUUAAAUCGAGCGGUCAGGAAGCCUCCUGGAGAAAAUGACGUUUGAACAAAGACAUGAAGAAAGUGGAGAAUAUUUGGAGAAAAGCAUUUCAGGCAGAGGAAAGUGCCAGGGCAGAGGCCCCGAGGUGAGACUGUGCUAGCAUGUUAUUUAGUUUUUAGUUUUAAAAAGUGCAAAAUAAUAUCCAUUUACUGUGGGAAAAUUAGACAUUAAAAAAAUCACUUCCUGUCCCUCUACCCAGAAAUAACUGGUAACAUGGUGGUGUAUAUUUUUGUGUUCUAUUUUUAAGCAUACACACAUACAUACGUGUGUGUGUAUAUUAUAUGUAUUUUUUUUACAAAAAUUGGGGUCAUACCAUCAUACGGUUUCAUAACCACUUAUUUGCCUAAUAAUAUAACAAGGCAAUCAUUCCAUGUCAAUAAAUAUUGAUCCACAUCAUUACUGAAACGGUUGUAGAAUGUUCCAUCUCACAGAUGUUCGGGAUUUAUUCAACCAUUCCCCCACUAAUGGGCAUUUAGGUGAUCUUCCCAAUUAUAAAUAGCGAUGCAGCCACCAUUCUUGUAAAAUUUCUACACUGUCUGAGUAUCCAAUUAUUUCCUUCGGAUGUGCUUCUAGAGUGGGAAUGUUGGAGCAAAGGUUGUGCACUUUGCUCAACAGUCUGUGAGGCCUGCGUGUUUCUCAAGAGGGUUUGGGAGGGUUUCAGGGGGACCCUAUAGCAGCCUGAGAAUGUUUCAUUUGGCAGGAAAUCACCUUUUCUGAAGAGAAAUGAGUACCCUACCACAUUGCCAGGGCUUGCCUCUGUAGGGCUGGUCGUUUGGGUAAUUUUAAUUUUCUUCUUUAUUCAUUUCUAUAUUGUAUUUUCGGUAUUGGACAUGCAUUGCUUUUUGUAUUAAUUUUUCUAAUGAAAGCAAUUUUUCUUGUUAUAAAAACCAAACACAAGAGAAGUACGUACAGUAGAAAGAAAAGGCCCACAUCUCCCCAGAAGUUGCCCGGGUUCAUUUUGUGUGUUCACCUGCUAGACAUGGUUCAGCUCCUGCAUAAGUUUUGUUAUGGGAAUUUUCCCUCAGUAGGAAGAAAAUACUGUCAUAAAAAUAAAAAAAUUUAAAUAAAA